rnacentral:lncRNA from 1 species
GGGUAGCUUCCUCAUGACGAUGCCUCCUUAAAUAGGGCAACACGUUGAGAAGGGAACCAUGCAAUAGAUGGGUGGCUCCACUAUGCUGACACGUCUUCAAAUAGGGCAAUAGGGUAAGGAUGUCAUGACACCCCUAAAAUACUUGGUUGGCUCCCCUAUGCCUUGUACUUUCAAGUAAGGUCAAAUGUUAAGGAUAGAACCCCUUCCAAUAGUCGGGUGGCACCCCUAUGUCAAUGCGUUGCUUAUCAUGAUGAGUUUUGGAUAGCUACGAGGACAAUUCUUUUACAAGGGCCAAAAAAUUCACUUUAUAAUAUUAGUUAUAGUAAGACAAAUUCACAUAUUUUUUACUAGAAAAAUCAUAGAAAAAUGAUCGAAUCUUUGGACGCUUCGAAAAUACUAUGAGGUGCUUGGAAAUGAUCAGGGAGGAAGAUAAGAUACUUUGCUGCACUCAUUGAUCAAGUGCCUUCUAAAGGAACUAUUACAUAAGAAAGAAAAAAUCACAAAAAUUCUGUUUCAUGAUAAAGAUGAGCUGAUUUCUAACUCUGUAGCUUAGAAAGAAUUCAAUUCCUUUUGCGAACUUCCCAAGACAAUGCCUAAGUAAGAGGCUAGAAAAUACUUGCUUAAUUUGGACCACUAGACAAAUACGUGUACAUAUAGCUUGAUCUACUGGCGCCCCCUUCAAGAAGAAAAACUUAGGAGAUGCGAGAAAAUACCUCUUCCGUUUCUUCAUGGGCAGGGACCCAACCGUUAAUUUUUUCUUUGCUUCUAGUUAUUUUUUCUACGAGAAUAAGACCUUUUCAAGGGAAAGUACCAAUCCUCUUGUGAAAUGGGUAGACUUUUGACAUAUCUUUUACUAUGGGAUUCGCUCAUGGUUAAAGCAUUAUUUUCCAUAGAUGGGGCUAAUCUAUUGACCUCUGAAUCUAAUUAGAACUAGAGUGUCAACAGAUGCCGCCUCCACUCCUCUCUAAGUGCAUGUAACAUAUGCACUUGGAAUGUACGCAUUAGACGCGCAAGAUCGAAACAUCUCCAAACACAAACGACGGAGGAGGUCGUGAUCUUAAGUUUUCCAAUGCUCGUUAAAAUGAAGAAGAAAACAUGAGAGUCGGGUGAGAGAAUUAUCAAGGUUGCAAUUGCCUGUAACAAACUACUAUUUACACACACACACAUAGAGAAGGGGGGGGGGGGAAUGAGCCGAAGCUCCUUGAACACUUGACACGUAAGCUCGUCCAAAUGUCUCAUUGGUCAAGCUCCAUGUUGUUACCAUGUCACAUCCUAGGCAUCAAUUGGUCUGCCACCUUGCAAACUGUCCUAGUGGAAAAGGUGAGAUUUAACUCCCAACUACUACUGCAGAAGACGUCUUAUCAAUCACAUCUCAUGUGACUCCAUGUUGUCACGUGAAAAAUCGCAUGAGGAGCCUUUGAAGUGGUACAACUACCUCGGAUAUGAAAGUCUCGCCUACCGAGGCUAAAGGUUGUGGCCCUCUGACUGGCUUGGAGCCACUAGUUGAAACUUCUAUUAUAAAUUAAAUCGCCUUGAAGAUAUUUGUCGACGAGGCGUUCGGCUAUGCCUUUAAUGUCUCAAAAAACAAAGUUUGACAAUGAGAUAGGUGUUCCUUCAUCGCCUUAAAGGAUGUUAGAUAUGGCCUCGAAAGUACUUACAUGGCAUUUUUCUUAGCUGGACACCAUGUGACUUGCCUCAUAGGCAGAAUCAUAACUAACCAGAUUUUAACUUUUUUUAAAAGAAAAUUGAUAACUGUUUUUCUAAUUCACAAAAGAAUGAAUUCAGGUGAUAAGAGUGUUACCAUGAGGGAUGGCUUCGAGAUACGGUUCCAAUCAAAUAGAUCAUCAAGUUAGAUACUUUAUCGCUAACAAGGUAACUUAUUUUAGGGUAAAAAAAAUGGAUGAGUGGACUUAAUAGUUAAAGUUGCUUGUAGAUAUGAGACAAAUGAAUCUAAAGAUUAGAUUAUGGUUCAUUUCUAAUCUUGGCAUUUAUUUUAGAGGUUGUGUUUGGUGUAACAUAGGGAUGUUCACAUCCCUCACAUGCUGUGGGACCCGACUGACACCCCUCACCUUGGUCCCAUCUCAUCUAAGGGCUGUGGACGCCUCUAUGUACAUAUUUUAUAUACAUCAUGACUUAUUCUUCAUUUUAUUACACAACAUAUGAGGAAAAAAAAACAUUUUUGUAUUAGUUUUAGAAAAUGAGGCAAUGUGUAAAGUGUCAGAAAGGGCUGCAUUCACGCACUUCAUAGUCAAAAUCACUUGUAGAUAUGAAACGAGUGAAUCAAAAGACAUUAUUUGGUUCAUUUUAAAUCUCGAUGAAGUCCAUUUUAUUGCACAACAUAGGAGGAAAAACGCUUUUUGUAGAUAUUUCAGAAACAUGGUAACGCUAAAGUGUAAGAUUGGGCUUGAAAAGAGUGGAUCGUGGAUGGAUGCAAACUUGAUUGUCAAAGUUGCUCAUAUAUACAAGAUCAAUGGAUCAAAAGACUAAUUAUUUCAUUCUAAAUAUAAAUAAUCCAUUUUAUUAAACAACAUCAAAUGAAAGAAUCAUGUUUGUAUUGAUUUCGGAACAUAACAUAACGUGUUUAAUGGUAAGAUCAAGCUUGAAAAGAAUGGACGGGCAUGAUAUCUAAUAUCCAAAGUUGCUUAUAGAUAUAAGACGAAUGAAUCAACAGAUGAUAAGUUGGUUCAUUUUAAAAUAUCGUUAAACAAUUUUAUUGCAUGAUACAACAAAAACAAAAAAAACAAAAAAACAAAGAAAAUCCAAUGCCCUUUUUAAGAAAACAAGUAGAGUUGGAUAAAUCAGGCAUUCUUUAAGGAUUCUAUAUUUAUUAUAAGAAAAAAUGACAUGAUUUUUCAGUUUCAAUAGUAUAAAUCACUAAAAAGCAAAUAAAAACAAAUAGUGAUUAUAAUAAAUUUCUAUUGGUUGUUUGGUUAUUUCUUAGCAUUCUUUGUUUUGCUAGUUUUAAAAAUAAACGAAAUGACACCAUCAGGGCGGGUUGGAGCUCCCUACGUUUGCUAGAUUUGACAUAGAUAUUAUACCGUGGGUCAUUAUUUUUGACAGAUUUUUUCUGUACGAACAGCAAAAUACCAGUAAUUUUAUGUGGCUAUAAACAUGGGGAUUAGAAUAGAAAUUUAUUGGUUAGUCAGUGGCUAGUGGUCCAAAGUUACAAUAAAGUCAUACAAAAACAAAUACUGAUUUGAAAUGUAACAAGCAACCAACCUCAAAAAUUUGAAUCACUAAUAUAAAAAGUGAAUUCUUUUACUCUAUAUAUAUAUAUAUAUAUAUAUAUAUAUAUAUAUCUGCCCGAGUUCAAAUAUAUUGACAAUAAAACUUAUUAGUCUGUUUUAAUUCUAUUAGAAAAUCUAACAAUGAUGAUCAAAGCGAAUGUAGACUAAAUGUUGCCUGCUAUGGACGAAAAACGAUUUGCAUCGCUUUUUAAUAAAUUUAGUGCAUCCGGCCAAACAUAAUGAUGUAAAAGUUUCAAGUAUUUAGACCUUAAAAUUGUGUGUGUGUGUGUGUGUAUCAAUCAAGAAGUUUCAUGUUCGACACAUUAGAGAUAGAGAAGCGGCCUAAACCAUGACCAAAGAAAGAAUACUCAUCCAUCUCUUUGAACAAUAAUUUUUAUUUAAUUCUUUCGAAUAGAACACGGCUACAUGAGAUUAUUUAGAUGCAUUAGAAGCGAAAAAAAAAAAAAAAACUUGGUCAAUAUGUGUAAAAAAAUUCGAAAUUAUUGUGGGGUCAUGUGAAUCCGCCCUUGAUCAUAGGUUUCUAGCCAAACACGCCAAGUUCAUAUUGUUAGGAUCAGUUUGAAAGAAAAUUGGUUCGAUUAAAGACGUGAACUACCUUGACCCAUAGUUAAUUGAUUUUCAAGUUGGAUGACUAACAAGUUUAGCAGAUUUGUUAUCGAUAAUUAAUGAAUAGUCAUACAUGUUGAUUAUUGAUCAAUGAUAAUUGUGAUGGCCACAUAUGUUAAUUAUUAGAUACUUGGGGGAAUUUCAUGGUCCAAAGCUUUCAAGAAUUUGAUUUAGAACGUCGUAAUAGGCCAACUACUAUAUGCAUAAAUUUCUCUCGUCUUUAUGAGUUCUUAGAUAAAUAAAUAAUUUUCAAAUUUUAACGUGGGUAUUCUUGUAAUUUCACUCAUGCAAAAUUAUCCUCAUUUUUUUUCGAACGAAGGGCUGUGUUUCAUUACACUGUCACAUACAUAUGAUAAGGUUUAUAAGGUGGCAAGCAAAGAUAGGCCCCAAGGGAUAAGACAGCAAUCCAUUUACAAUCCUCCAAUAUGUGGUCAGAAGAAUGAACAGUCAUGGCUCAUGAGAUCCAACGGUCAAAUUUCAUCAAAAUUGAAUUAAAUUGAAUUGAGACCCUUGGAUGAAAAAUCUAAUAUUAGCCAAUCAAAAACAAGGGCAAAAUUGCAUAUAUAGGGUGAGGUAGAAGCACAAUAUUCAUUCAAUAAGGUCACUUUGUGUGUGCACCCAACAAGAACUAACAAUGGCUACCUCAAUGAUCUCCACCUCCGCCGUUGCCGCUGUCAACCGUGCCGCCCUGGCUCAGGCCAACAUGGUGGCUCCUUUCACCGGCCUCAAGUCGACUUCGGCUUUCCCCGUUAGCCGCAAGAAUGUUGACAUCACGUCCAUUGCUAACAAUGGUGGUAGAGUAUCUUGCAUGAAGGUACUCCAAUACAACUACUAGUACACUUGGUAUAAGUGCUUUUUUCGCAAAAAAAAAUAAGCCCCUAAAAUAAUUUAAGUCGAAAAAAAUAAUUUCUAUUCGGAUAAUUGUACAAGUACGUUUGUAGGAUUACUAUGAUUUUGCUUAAUUUGAGAUUAGAUAUUCAACAAAUAUCAUUAUAUUUUGCUAUAUGUGGGUGGUUUAAUUAAUCUGCAGGUGUGGCCACCACUUGGUUUGAAAAAGUUUGAGACUCUUUCGUACCUUCCCGAUCUCACUAGGGAACAACUCCUCAAGGAAGUCGAUUACCUUCUCCGAAUGAAAUGGAUUCCUUGCCUCGAAUUCGAGUUGGAGGUAAAUUCUCUAAACCUUCUUUAUUCAACUCGAUUGGACUAGAUAAAUAAUAAUUGACAUAUUUAGCCCUCCUUUGAUUCUGAUUUUUCAAGUCAAAAUUUUUUUACCGUUAUUUAUCAUAGUCAACUAUCGUUUUUGACUUCUUCAUCCAUGGGUGGGAUCCACAUUUUAAACUAACGGUCAAAAAAUCAAUUCUCAUAAUCGGCACCAAACGGACCCUUAUUUUGUAACAUUUCGUAUAUUCAUUGAUUGAUGUGAUCUAUUUGCAGCACGGGUUCGUGUACCGUGAGAACCACAGGUCUCCGGGAUAUUACGAUGGACGAUACUGGGUUAUGUGGAAGCUACCCAUGUAUGGAUGUACGGACCCAGUGCAGGUGUUGAAUGAGUUGGACUUGUGCGUCAAGGAAUACCCCAAUGCCUUUGUUAGGAUCAUUGGAUUCGACAACGUGCGUCAAGUGCAAUGCAUCAGUUUCAUUGCUUUCAAGCCACCAGGACGCGCCUAAAAUGGCUCUCAUUUAAAGACUAAGGGCACUGACUUUUAUAAUUCGAAAAAUUAACCUAAGUAGCAAAUAAGGCUAGAAAGAAUAAGAAAGAGGCAUCAAUUGCUACGACUAAACCACAUUUCAAAAAAUAUACAUUGGUAGAGAGAGAGAGCAAUUAAAUUCUACAUGGAACAUGAUGGUGAAAACCAAAUGAUACAUGCAAACGAGUUAACUCAAUACUUUUUAUGGGUCUGUUUGAUAGUGAUUUUGAGAAUCAAUUUUUUGAUCGUUAAAGAGAAAAAUGAGUUUCACCUAUAAGUGAAGAAGUAAAAAAUGACGGCUGAUUAUUGGAAGUAACGGUCCAAAACUGAUUUUCUUGGGUGAAAAAUCAGAACCAAAUGGGGGACUAUAUAUCUUGUCAAGGGUAAACAUACUAUUAAGAUAAUAACACAAAUAUAUAUGAAUCUAUAUAUAUAUAUAUGGACUGACAGCAAUUAAAAUGUUUUCAUAAAAUAAAUUUGGGUAACUUUGUCUCAAAAGAUAAUUGAAACAUCAAAAGCUUAAAAACAGAAAAAAAAAAAAUUAGACUGCUCUAUGGAUUUCUAGAUAUUGAAAAUAUGACCCUUCAAUUAAACUCAGUAGAUAAAGCGAAAAAUUGUAACCAAUUUCAAGCAUGAGACUCAGAUUCUUAAACCACUCGCUAUAUAGCGGACAUUAAAACGCUAAUCGUUACAAUUUGAUUGAAACAAUUUACCUUCACACAAGAAUAUGUCAUCCAUGUUAUAGAAAAAAUAUUGUGAACGAAGUACAAUGCAUAACCAUUUCGUUCCUUUCAUUAGGAUACACUAAUGUAGUUUCAGUUUAGAUAUGAGAACCUGUUGAAGGCUGGUAAGAAAAUUGACUGGGUUGUAAUUGAAAGCCCAACUUAUCCCCUAUCAAUAAAUAGAAAAUCUCAAUUUCACCAAAAUAAAAUUUUUAAAAGUUAAUGUAUAAAACAAUCCAAAAAACCAUAAUUUCUGAAUAGCCAAUCUGCCAUGGAUGACCAAAAAUAUAACUAAGAUACAGAAAAUCAUGGAAUUUGACUCUUUGUGGGUAUCAGUGUACACGUAAGCUCUUGUUCCCUGACAUGUUGGGGCACAUUCCACGAUUUACCUAUUUCACAAUGCUUCAGGGGCGUGGCGACAAGGACCCUUAAGGUGGGGGUUUAACCUUUAAGAUACAGAAAAUCAUGAUAUUAGAGAAAAAAGCACUUAUAAUGCAUAACCUAAAUGAUCAGAAAUCCUAAAAGUUUUCCUAAAUUGACCCAAAGCUAGAAGAAAAUAUCCAAAAGCUGGUGCAGAAAGUAGAAAAUACAGUUUUCUAAAAUGUCAAGAACCUUAACCCUUUUAAUUUUUUAAAAUUUGUCUUUACUUUCUCUACAAAUCAUCACAUUUACUACAAAUUUUCACUUCCCAAUCAAAUUUUUAAUUAAUUAGAACCUAAAUUUGCAUUUUCUCUCAUAUUUGUUUAUAUAGAAUGUGUCUAAACUAAUUAUAUCUAAUUUAACUUAUAUUUAACGAAUUGUGUUUAUUUGAUUGAAUAUUAGUUAUAUAUUUUUUCUUUCGAUUUCUUGAAUUGAUUGUUUGUAUCAAAUGCACUAUAAAUCUUUUAAACGUAAAUAUGCAUUUUUUUGUUAUGAACAAAAUAUUAAUAAGAUAAUUGUUUGAAAUCAAAUAGAUGAAAAACGAUGAGUAAAAUAUUAAUGAAGAAAUAUUUUAUAAAUGUAAAUAUGCAUUUUCUUGGGUCAAGUAGGUGGAGCUCUAAUGGAAACAAUAGGAAGCAAGUGGGACCAUCGGAAUCUUGUGGUUGCGUAUAGGGUAUAGCAAUAGUGUGGUGCCAACGAUUGAGGAAGAUAGCAGAGUUGCAAGGGUUCAGCGGAGGGAAGACUGCGGUAUCCAAGUUUUGGGGAUGAAGGAAGUGGUAUUGUUUGGGUCGGGAUUGUUUGUUGGAUGUGAUUUGGAUAGAUUUCAAAAUACAUUUUAAAAAAGGGUCAUGCUACUUAUACUUAUUUGUUCACACUUUGAUUUAUUCGGACCCAUCACCUCCUCUCAUAUGAGGGUCGGACCCCACGUCAUGACCCCCACAUGGGACCUGACCUCAUGUGAGAGGAGUGGUGGGAUCGGGUAACCCAAAAUGUUAACAAACAAGUACAAAUGACUUACUUUUUUAAAAAAUAAAAAACUCAUGUCGCAUUUAGUACCACUUGACAAAUAUUGUGAUAUAUGAUUUAUUUAAUUAUGUCAAGGUUACAAUAAUAUACAAUUUAUGGUCACGAUCACAUAUUAGUUACAAGAUAACACAAUGUCACAAUUAUAAAGAUACAAUUCAUGGUCACGUUACAUAUUAUUAAUCUCAUAUCUUAGCAGGUCACAAAUUGUCUAUUAGUUACAAAUUAUCCAAUUAAUUGACCACAAUCACGCUCAUCCCCACCCAUGCCACUCUACAACAACCAGCAUCACCAAAAUCGUAAUUGCCAUCUUAAAUACAUAAGACCCCACACACCACCACUUGCACCUCAAAUCCACCACCACUCCCAUUUUCAACCCAUCACCACCACUUCGACCCCAAAUCCACUACCACCUCGACCUCCAAUCUACCACUUACACAUUGGACGAACAAAUCAUCACCACCACCUCAAAAUCCACCACCACCUCGACAGUCAAACUAUAGUCACCAUAAUAACCACCAUAAUCAAAUCAUUGUCAUCACCUCCGCCUUCAACACACCUCAAAUUCACUACGUUAUCCACAAUCAAACCACUCUUACCACCACUACCAUCUUCAGCACACCUCAAGUUCACCAACAGAUUAUAAUAAAUCAUCAAGGCAGAAGCACAAAAGCAGCACAAACCAGAAGCAGAUUUUGACUUAAUUGACGAAGACACAUGGGCCGAAUAGUGGUGGAAUGGAUGGUGAUGCCAUGGGUGUAGGUCCGUAACCAUAGAUCCCAUCAACAACAAUUAAAGAUUUUUUUGGGCCUCAUAUAGUGUUGUGGGCCAAUCAAAGGUAGGGGUUGUGUUUGGGACGUGAUUCUAUCCAUAAAGUGGUAGGAAGUGGUGGCUGACGACCAGGGGCGGAUUCAGGAUUGGAUCCAAAACCGGGCUACAAAAUUUCAAACCGGGCUACUAUGCCCAAAAAAAAAUUUUUACACACAAAAAACAGGUUUUUUAACCAAAAAAAUAAAAAAUACCUUAAAAAAAAUAUUGGGCCUGAGAGGGGGGGCUACAGCCCAGCCAGCCCCCCCCCAAAUUCGCCUCUGCUAACGACUUCUGUGCACGUUUCUAGGCUCCGCCAAUGUUCGAUGCGCGGCGAAAAUGUCAAAAGUGGCUUGGCGCCUUAUUUAGCAGGUAACAGUAGUCGUUAACCACUAAUGCGCACAUAAGGGUGCAUAAUUAUCAUUUUUUAUUUAUUUAUUAUUAUUAUUCUAAGUUAAAGCUUACAUUUUGAGUUCUUCACUUUGUUGGUUUUAAAUUCAAAAUAGUCGCUUGAAACCUUGAAUAAAGGAAAUCUCCCAAAAUUUCCUAUUUAUUUAUUAUUUAAUAUUUACAUUUAGAACUUAUCUUUUUGUUGAAAACUUUAGAAAAAUAUAUAAAUUCCUAUAAUUUUGUUUUAGAUGUUUGGCAGGUAUUAUUUUUAAUUAUUAAACGAUUUUUUGAUUGAUUAAAAAUUAAAAAAAUAUUAAAAUAAGAAAAGUCUUUUUAGAUUUUUUUUUUUACGUCUAUGCCUCGUCUAAACUCGCAUAGCCCAUAAUUUGACUUUUACGUAUCAUGCCAUUGAGAAUAUUGCUUUUGUUGGUGUGAAGGUGAAGAUGGUAGUGAAUUUAGAAUGAAGUGGGGUGUGUGUUGGCACCUAAUUUUUUUAAAAUUAAUUUGAUCAGAUUAUUGAAAUGAAAAAAUGAAAAACGGGCCUGUAAUUCCGACUUCCCUAUCAUGUUUAAUGAACCUGGCUGCAAGUUUCACGGGCCUUUGCACCCUAUCGAUUUCGAUUCAUGGACUUGGUCCAAGUUACACGCUUCCAAUAUUGGGCUUGAAUGUUAGCCCAGUCUACUACACGGGUCCAAUAGAAAAGACCAAAGUGCUGGCCCAAUUAUCUCUUAUGGAGCCAACCCUUUCAUAAAUUUUAAUUAUGAAUUUUAUGGGAUUCAUAACUUUUUUAACUGCAUAAUUUAUCAACUUUAUUAAUAUUGACAAAAAAAAUAAAAUAAAAAUAAAUCUGAUUUUAAUUUACACCAAUUAAGCCCUUGUUUGGUAGGGAUUAAAAUUAAAUUUUUAGUAGAUUUCGAUAAAAGUUUUUAAAAUGUAUGGUUGAAAAGUUGUGAGACUUCUGAAAUAUGUGGUUAAAAUUAAUUGUUUGACUUCAAUUUAGAUUAAAAUCUAAUUUAAAUUAGUACCAAACAGAACCUAAAUCUUUAUGUUUUAUGCCACUAAUUUUUCACCAUCUUAUGUUGUAACAUUUUUUUUUCCCUAAAGCUUUAAACUCUCAAAAUAAAAUGGACUUCAAUUUUCAGUUUUUACUUUUAAUUUUCAGUUUUAAUAUUAUGUGUCUUUAUGUUAGAGUGUAACUUAUCUUUUGAUCGACUANNNNNNNNNNNNNNNNNNNNNNNNNNNNNNNNNNNNNNNNNNNNNNNNNNNNNNNNNNNNNNNNNNNNNNNNNNNNNNNNNNNNNNNUCGAUUUCAUAGUUUGAUAUACAACUUGAAAAUACAAGUUAAGGAAUUAUUCUCCUAUAUACAUUUUUAUACUAUAUUCUUAUACUUUUGGCAAUUCAAUAAAGAUUCGUUUUUCAUUUCCUUGAGGUUGUGAUCAUAGAAGGAGAACCAGCUGUGAGCUAUAUAAGUUUUAUCUUGAAGUUGCGUAGUGCCAAAAAUACGAGAGAGAGACAACACGGUUUUAGGACAAUAUCCUUGACGUGACUCUUUAAAACUUGAUUAUUAAAUCUCAUCUCAUGUUUAUGUUAUUUAAUUGAUUAUGUUAGUUGAUAAUAAAUCUACAUAUAAAUUAUCCAUUUUUUCCAACAAUAUAAAGUCAUAUUUGUGAUUCAUAUGUAGACAAUUCUUGUUGUUAUCUUUAAUAGGUAAAGUCAUUUGUGUAUGUUUUACUUGUCCAUUUUAUUCAGUGAUACAAAUUAUAAACACUCUGAAAACUACACUGUUAACUUAUUCUAUAUGUGUAUGUUUAUUGAAAUUGGAAACAUUGCAAGAGGAAAAUAUAUAAUCGGCAUCUUCUGUGUAUUAUGUGUGGUGCUUGCUUGGUAUACUCCGCCCUCUGCAUCCGUUAAUAAUCCAUUGAAAAUUUGAAAUUCUACAAGUUAGUCCAUAAACCAAAUUGUUAGUUUGUGGUUCCCUACCCAUAUCUGAUAGCUAAUAAUACCUCUUCUGUUUCUCUGAAUAAGUUUGAUGAUGCAUUACAGACUCCUAUAUGGUCAAAACGAUUUCUCAUGAGUUUUGUCUUGACUAAUUUACUUUCCAAAUGUUAUUCCUGGUUCCUAGAAAGUAUAUGGACAUAAAUUUGGAAAAUUGAAUUGCUCCUAGUAGAUGUGAAGACUACUGGUUGUUAUUAUCAAAAAAAAAAAAAAAAAAAAAAGAAGAAGAAGAAGACUUCUAGUACUUGUAAAAACCUCUAACUGAUAAGAUUGGUUUGAGAGGGCAAACAAAUAAGUUUGAGAAUGACUGUGUGUAGAAUAAAUUACAAUACUUGAAUUUUGCUCAUGAAAGCUCCAUUGGCCUUGACCUAAACAAAUGGUAUGUUUGGUUGGGAUAGAUUAUUGAGAUUUGUCGUUCAAUGUGAGAGUGAAUAAUUUUUUACGCAUUGAGCAACAAUGCAACAAGUAAAUAAAAAAGAAAUUAAGACAAUAAAUAGAGAAGUACUACUUCCAUGUAUAAAGGAAUUAAUGCAAAAAAUUAUAACAUAAGCUACAAACCUCUAAAGCUGGGUAGUCUAUGUCUGUCGAUCUACACCAGUGUCCUAAUCUGUCGUGGUAGGUCAGAUGGUCCAUACUCUUGAUAGCGCCGGUGAUCCCAACCCUCUGAAGCAAGCGAUUCUGCAAUUCUGUAGAUGUGGAAAACCACAUCUUUGUCAAAGGAGAUGAGGUCUUUGAUCUAUCUAAAAGUGCCAUGGAUCUUCCAUGGUCCUCCACCCCUGAUGAUGCAACGAAUAGUCACGAUCGAAUCUGUUUCAACCAAUAUAGUUGAUAACCUAAUUUGUGCCUGAGUGAUUGAGGAAAAUGGGUCCUUUGUUGUUGUCCUACUCUAUGGGUGUAAGAACAUUUUAUGCACUUAUUCGAACUCCUAUUUUUAUAUAUUUAUAUAUAAAUUGAGUGAUUAUCUACUUAAUUUAUGUAAAUUAUGUUAAUACAUUUUAUAUGAAAAGAUGCUAUUUGGAGCUUAAUUGGAAUUGAUUUGAGGUAAUUGAACAUUGCUCGGAUUGUAAGAGAUCAAUUGGAAAUAAUAGUGGAACAUUCAAUAAAAAUUCAAAAGUUUUGGGAGUUAAAUUUGACAUUUGAGAAGUUUGAGGACUAAAUUACAAACUUCGAAACUUGUUUCAUGUCAACUAUUAUGAUUUUGGAAUGAAGAUGACUUAAUUGCAAAAUAAUAGAAGAUGAAAGACUAAAGUCAUGUGAGAAAAUGAGUCUAAUUGAAAAAUGAAUUUGUUUCAAUUUAUUUCUUAAAAUUUUUGAUAGAAACCAAUUUGAACUCUUUUGUGAAAAUCAAGUUGAACAAGGAUUUUGCUUAAAUCCCGUUCUAUAAAUAUAUAUCUUAAUCCAAUAAUUGAAGGGGGUUUUUUGGAUUUCAUUAGACGCAUACAUGUCAACCUAUGAUUGAUUAUAACCUUAAAAUUUUGAUUAUAAACAAGUUAAUCUUGUUUGUUAACAAUUGAAUUUAAAGUAAUUAUAGUCUUCAAAUUCUCCAAUGAAAAAUUGAUCGAUGAUUGUCAAAAAAUCAAAAGCUAUUAUCACAAUCAGAUUCAUGAAGGAAGUCAAGAUCGAAAUCACAUAUUCAAAAAUUUAAUAGACAAACUUCGAAAUAAGAUCAAUGAUUAGAUUUCUUUGAACAAGUGUAAAGGUACUAGUAUUUUGAUACUUAGCAAUGAA